rnacentral:tRNA from 1 species
GCGGAUGUGGUGGAAUUGGCAGACGCGCUAGCUUCAGGUGCUAGUGAACGCAAGUUCGUGCGGGUUCAAGUCCCGCCAUCCGCACCA